AGUUGGAUCCUGGCUCAGAUUGAACGCUGGCGGCAUGCCUAACACAUGCAAGUCGAACGGUAACAGGUCUUCGGAUGCUGACGAGUGGCGGACGGGUGAGUAACGCGUAGGAAUCUGUCUUUGAGUGGGGGACAACCCAGGGAAACUUGGGCUAAUACCGCAUAAGCCCUGAGGGGGAAAGCGGGGGAUCUUCGGACCUCGCGCUGGAAGAGGAGCCUACGUCUGAUUAGCUAGUUGGUAGGGUAAAGGCCUACCAAGGCGACGAUCGGUAGCUGGUCUGAGAGGACGACCAGCCACACUGGGACUGAGACACGGCCCAGACUCCUACGGGAGGCAGCAGUGGGGAAUUUUUCGCAAUGGGGGCAACCCUGACGAAGCAAUGCCGCGUGGAUGAAGAAGGCCUUCGGGUUGUAAAGUUCUUUCGUGGAGGACGAAAAGGUGGGUGCUAAUAUCGCCUGCUGUUGACGUGAAUCCAAGAAGAAGCACCGGCUAACUCCGUGCCAGCAGCCGCGGUAAUACGGGGGGUGCAAGCGUUAAUCGGAAUCUCUGGGCGUAAAGGGUGCGUAGGCGGUGCAUUAGGUCUGUCGUGAAAUCCCCGGGCUCAACCUGGGAAUGGCGGUGGAAACCGGUGUACUAGAGUAUGGGAGAGGGUGGUGGAAUUCCAGGUG
rnacentral:rRNA from 1 species